GAAAUGCGAUAAGUAAUGUGAAUUGCAGAAUUCAGUGAAUCGUCGAAUCUUUGAACGCACCUUGCACCCUUUGGUAUUCCGAAGGGUACGCCCGUUUGAGCGUCAUUGUAAUCUCACUUCAACGACUUUUGUUGUUUGAAUGUGGACUUGGAUGUUGCCGUGUCAUUAUGGCUCGUCUCAAAUGCCUGAGUGUACCCUGUUUUGCAGCGUAUCCAGUGUAAUAAACAUUUCACUAGAGUUGGUCGAAAGACCGCGUUUUGCGAUUUGGGCUCUAUGCUUCAAAACCGUCCACUUGUGGACAAUACUUGACAAUUUGGCCUCAAAUCGGGUGGGACUACCCGCUGAACUUAAGCAUAUCAAUAAGCGGAGGAAAAAGAAACUAACAAGGAUUCCCCUAGU
rnacentral:rRNA from 1 species